GUGCCAGCCGCCGCGGUAAGACAGAGGAUGCAAGCGUUAUCCGAAAUGAUUGGGCGUAAAGCGUCUGUAGGUGGUUUAAAAAGUACAUUGUUAAAUUUUAAGGCUUAACCUUAGCAAAGCAAGGUAAACUUUUAAACUAGAGUUUGGUAGAGGCAGAGGGAAUUUCCGGUGGAGCGGUGAAAUGCGGAGAGAUCGGGAGGAACACCAAAGGCGAAAGCACUUUGCUGGGCCAUUACUGACACUAAGAGACGAAAGCAAGGGGAGCAAAUGGGACUAGAUACCCCAGUAGUCCUUGCCGUAAACGAUGGAUACUAAAUGUUGGAGAAAUUCAGUAUUGUAGCUAACGCGUUAAGUAUCCCGCCUGGGGAGUACGCUCGCAAGAGUGAAACUUAAAGAAAUUGGCGG
rnacentral:rRNA from 1 species